rnacentral:tRNA from 2 species
GAGGAGAUAGCUCAGUGGGUAAGAGCUUUUACUUUGAGAGCAAGAGGACUCGAGUUCAAAUCUCUAGCACUCA